rnacentral:rRNA from 1 species
UACGGGGGGAGCAAGCGUUGUUCGGAUUUACUGGGCGUAAAGGGCGCGUAGGCGGUCAGCACAAGUCAGUUGUGAAAUCUCCGGGCUUAACUCGGAAAGGUCAACUGAUACUGUGCGACUAGAGUGCGGAAGGGGCAACUGGAAUUCUCGGUGUAGCGGUGAAAUGCGUAGAUAUCGGGAGGAACACCAGUGGCGAAGGCGGCGACCUGGGCCAAUACUGACGCUGAGGUGCGAAAGCGUGGGGAGCAAACAGG